ACACUUCUUUCGUUGUCAUAAUUUUAUAACAUGUGUUUUACAACUACUUUUAGUUUUAUGUUUAAAAUAUAACAAAAUGGCAGUAAAUCGCUCUAUUCAUUGUGUGUUUCGGUAUGCAUCAAGCCCUUACAUUUUAGGGAGUGCACCGUUUACAAAUGCGACAUUCAAAAGAUACUACAGUGUUCAAAAAUGUUCAAACAAAGCCAGAUUUGACAUGUUAAGAAAUCAUCAGAUAACAAGUUCAGCUUCCACGCUGUUGCUAUCAAGAACAAAGAGCACAUCGACAGGAGUGGAUGAAAUUCUAAGCAAAGCUGCAUCAGAAAUAUCCAAAGAUGGCAGUAUCAUCAAAGAUGUGCAUUUGAAGGACAUGAUGCCAGAGCUGACUGAUGUCACUGCCCAUCUCAAUGCCCUCGGAGAGGAGUCACUGAAAAGUCUCGGUCUAGCAAAGAUGACCCCUAUUGGCAUUAUACAGCAGAUAUUGGAGAUGAUACAUGUGAAUCUUGAUGUUCCAUGGAUCGGAGCCAUUGCCAUAUAUACAGUUAUUAUUAGACUUUUAUUAACUCCUAUGUAUGUGAAGUCCCGGCAAGCUUCAGUUAAAACUUCAAAUCACCAUGAGGUAACGAGUGCAUUAUAUGAGAAAAUCAGAAGAGCUACACUAAAGGGAGACGACUUAACAGCUAGAGAAUACAAGGCAGAAUUGAAGGAGUACCAAGCAAGGCAUGGAAUACAGACAUAUAAGCAAUUCCUCCCAUUAUUGGUUCAGUCCGCUGUGUUUAUCCCAACGUUCAUGGGUCUGCGAGGAAUGGCGGAACUCCCGGUGGAGAGCAUGAAGACGGGCGGCAUCCUGUGGUUCCAGGACCUGACCCAGGCCGACCCGUAUUACGGCCUGGCCGCACUGACCAGUCUUACCUUGGCGACCAUUGUGAGGGUUGGAGCUGAGAAUCCCAAUACUACAGCAAUAGCCAGGAAGACGGGAAUGGUCCUAUCUGGAAUUUCGUUUUUAUUUGUUAUGAACUUCCCUGCGGCUCUUGGAUGCUACUGGGUGACCACUAACUUCAUUUCUCUGUUUCAAGCCUUUUUGUUUACAUUGAAACCUGUCAAGAAAUUUUUCAAUAUUCCGGAAAUUGUCCAAGUUGCUCCGCAAAACAACAAAGGGAACAAAAGUUUAAGAGAAAUCUACCAAGAUUUGAAAGAAGAUUCUGCUCGUAAGUGACCUAUUUACAUCCGGACAUUUAAAAAAAUUAUCUUAAGGAGAACAGUGGAAUUUUAUUUCAUCUGAACAAGAAACUCAAAAUUAUUUUCUUACGAUAAAAUAAUAUAGUAUGAAGGAUGUGAUGAUGUAUUCAUAAUUUAGGAAUGCUUUCCGUAAUUCCUAGGAUAUCCAGGACAAAUUUUAUGAAAAACUGAAAUCAUAUUGCAGCAAAAGUGCCAAUCCACUGCAAACAAGAAUUAAUCUAUCAAAGAAGAGAUUAUAAAAGAAAGAAACUCGAACCACUCACUCGUUGUUAUACCAUUAUCUAUUUAUUAUAGGUAAAUCUAAAAUGUCAAAUGAGGAGGCCCUAAGAGACUUUGAGCGUAUUCAUGCCAUUGAGAUGGAAAAGGCAGGAAAAGGACCGAUACCCGUCACAUACAAAAACAAUCCGAAACUGAAGAAGAAAAAACAGCUAGACCGACAAAGUGUUAAACUGUGAAAUCAUCUUUAAUACAUGUACAUUUGGUAAUCUGUGAAUCCAGAAACCCACUGACAGUUGUUUUACAUGUGAUUUCACAUGAAGAUGUACACUAUAUCUGAUUCAAUGUAUUUAUGUUUUUUGUGAAUGAGGUUUGAGUGCUAGUAAAGAUUUCAAGAGU
rnacentral:misc_RNA from 1 species